rnacentral:lncRNA from 1 species
AGGAGAUGGGCAGACCAAGAAGUUUAAUAAGAUAGGCAAAGAUGAGUAGUAUCAUAAAAUAUCACAGAACAUUCCAUACAAUUUUGAUUUUCAAACAAAGAGGAACUAAUUAACACAUGUGGGGUAAGGGUCCUUAAACUGGCUCAAGUCCAUAUGAGAAUACCACCACCUGGGCAAUGAUUACUCUUUUGGAAGUUGUAAUUGUUACCUAACAGAUAACUGUUAUGUCGUAAUUAGAAUUAUCAGAAUGACAUUGACUGUGCCCUGGGUUAACAAUAAAUUAUGUUCAGGUUUACAUUUGUAUCUCUAAAGU